rnacentral:misc_RNA from 1 species
AACGCACGAGACCUGCGGACCUGCGGAGGGAUCAUUACCGAGUUUACAACUCCCAAACCCAAUGUGAACGUUACCAAACUGUUGCCUCGGCGGGGUCACGCCCCGGGUGCGUCGCAGCCCCGGAACCAGGCGCCCGCCGGAGGAACCAACCAAACUCUUUCUGUAGUCCCCUCGCGGACGUUAUUUCUUACAGCUCUGAGCAAAAAUUCAAAAUGAAUCAAAACUUUUAACAAUGGAUCU